CACUCUGUAGCUCAGUUGAUUCAGUAGAGCGCUGUACCAGAAACGCAGGGCCGCAGGUUCGAUUCAUGCCAGGGACC